rnacentral:lncRNA from 1 species
UUUUUUUUCUGGCAAUCAGAAAGAUAUUACUUGUACACCUAGUUUUGUUUGAUUCGGGUAUAAACAAAAACUGACUAUUUUAGGAUUAAGUAUAAAUUUAGAUAUAAAUCUGGAAUAGGCUAAUUUUACGUUUGAAUGAACAUUGAGUUGUUUCCGUAAAUAAGAAAAAUAGUGUUUGCAUAGAUAAGAUGGAAUAAGAAAAAUAAUAUAUAGUUAUAAAUAGAAAAUAAUAAUAUUGUCCCUUAUAUUAUAUUUAAAUUUAAAUUUUUAAAUUUUAUAUUUAAAUUUUUAUAUUUAAAUAUAUAACUUUUAAAUUUCAAAAAAUUAAAUUUAAAUUUAAAAUUUUAAAUCUUAAAUUCAAAAAUUCUAAGUUCUAAAUUUUAAAUUUAAAUUUAAAUUUAAAUUUUUAAAUCUUAAAUUCAAAAAUUCAAAGUUCUAAAUUUUAAAUUUUAGAUUAAAUUGAAAUUUAAAUAUAUAAAAUAUCAAAUUUAAAAUUUAAAAAUUUAAAAUAUCAAUUUAAAAUUAUAAAAUUUUAAUUUUAUAAUUAUAAAAGAAUAGCUGUUCCUACCUCUAUUCCCAGAC